rnacentral:rRNA from 1 species
UGGGGAAUAUUGGACAAUGGGCGAAAGCCUGAUCCAGCCAUGCCGCGUGUGUGAAGAAGGUCUUCGGAUUGUAAAGCACUUUAAGUUGGGAGGAAGGGCAUUAACCUAAUACGUUAGUGUUUUGACGUUACCGACAGAAUAAGCACCGGCUAACUCUGUGCCAGCAGCCGCGGUAAUACAGAGGGUGCAAGCGUUAAUCGGAAUUACUGGGCGUAAAGCGCGCGUAGGUGGUUUGUUAAGUUGGAUGUGCAAUCCCCGGGCUCAACCUGGGAACUGCAUUCAAAACUGACUGACUAGAGUAUGGUAGAGGGUGGUGGAAUUUCCUGUGUAGCGGUGAAAUGCGUAGAUAUAGGAAGGAACACCAGUGGCGAAGGCGACCACCUGGACUAAUACUGACACUGAGGUGCGAAAGCGUGGGGAGCAAACA